UUCCAACUUUGCAAUGAGUGCUAGAGUGUAGAGCAUAAUUUAUGGCACUUGGAGCUUGAGCAUGGGAUGUGUGUGCAGGUGCUUGCUGGGACCACUCCUCUCCAGUCUCCACCCAGACCUCCUCCUCCCCUGCAGCACACAGGAAGUCACCCCCAAAAACGGACUUACAUGACCUCAUAUAAAGAGCUGUGAAGUUUCCUCCAGCUAGUGCUCCCUCUGACACAAAUCCUCACAGCAGACAAAAGCCUGGACAUGAAGAUGCAGAGUGCCUCACACAGUGAGCUGUUUCAUCUUGGCCUCAGUCUUCCACACAAGUUCCCUGUGUUCUCCUGCACAGCCUCCUGAGCAGGAAGUGAUACUGGAAAUGGAUCAAGAUGUCUGGCACUUGAGAAGCUAAAGCUUUCUCUCAAGCAGAAAAUUAUAAUGCACAGUUUACCCAUUUGAGAUUAUGGUGAGUCUAUUGUGAUGGAAGAUUGUGCAAUGGUAUUCAAAAAUCAACUGGAGUCAUUACCUGCCCAUGUGUGAGCUCUGCAUAGGCUCCUGUAGAAAGAGGACUCACCAGGAGUUUUGUUGCUAUUAUUAUUUUUUUCAUGUUUAAGAAAAAUC
rnacentral:lncRNA from 1 species